UGGGGAAUAUUGCACAAUGGGCGCAAGCCUGAUGCAGCCAUGCCGCGUGUAUGAAGAAGGCCUUCGGGUUGUAAAGUACUUUCAGUCGGGAGGAAGGUGUCAAGGUUAAUAACCUUGGCAAUUGACGUUACCGACAGAAGAAGCACCGGCUAACUCCGUGCCAGCAGCCGCGGUAAUACGGAGGGUGCAAGCGUUAAUCGGAAUUACUGGGCGUAAAGCGCACGCAGGCGGUUGAUUGAGUCAGAUGUGAAAUCCCCGGGCUUAACCCGGGGAUUGCAUCUGAUACUGGUCAGGUAGAGUCAUGUAGAGGGGGGUAGAAUGCCAUGUGUAGCGGUGAAAUGCGUAGAGAUGUGGAGGAAUACCGGUGGCGAAGGCGGCCCCCUGGACAAAGACUGACGCUCAGGUGCGAAAGCGUGGGGAGCAAACAGG
rnacentral:rRNA from 1 species